CCUACGGGAGGCAGCAGUGAGGAAUAUUGGUCAAUGGAAGGAAUCCUGAACCAGCCAUGCCGCGUGCAGGACGACGGCUCUACGAGUUGUAAACUGCUUUUGUACGGGGGUAAAAUGCGUUACGCGUAGGUUUUUGAAAGUACGGUACGAAUAAGGAUCGGCUAACUCCGUGCCAGCAGCCGCGGUAAUACGGAGGAUCCGAGCGUUAUCCGGAUUGAUUGGGUUUAAAGGGUGCGUAGGUGGUUUGAUAAGUUAGCGGUGAAAUACCGAUGCUCAACAUCGGGGUUGCCGCUAAUACUGUAGGACUAGAGAGCGGAUGCAGCAGGCGGAAUGUGUAGUGUAGCGGUGAAAUGCAUAGAUAUUACACAGAACACCGAUUGCGAAGGCAGCUUGCUAGGCUGGAUCUGACACUGAUGCACGAAAGCGUGGGGAUCGAACAGGAUUAGAUACCCGAGUAGUC
rnacentral:rRNA from 1 species